ACCGCGAUAGCUCAGCCCGAAAGAGCAUUUGCCCGGUUGGCGUAAGGUCGCCGGUUCAACUCCGGCUCGCGGCG
rnacentral:tRNA from 1 species